GCCCCAGUGGCAUAAUGGUUAAGUGCUCAGCUGCUAACCAAAAGGUUGAUGGUUUGAACCCACCCAGGGGCU
rnacentral:tRNA from 1 species